UCUAAACCCAGUUUAUUUACCUGGUUGGUUUGGUUUGGUUUGGUUUGGUUGUACAAGAUCUAAACCCGAACGAGUUGAGAUAGGUACCCUAUGAAACAUGAUGGCAAGGGUGACUCUAAACUCGGGUUGGCUAGAUAAAUCUGAACCAAUGCCUAAUGAAGUCUGCGUGCCCAAGCCGUGCACUUGCACGUAUCACAAGGCCUUAUACGGAUAAUAAAGAUGAUCUUGCAGGUUUUUCAGCUGGGGAGCUAGAUCCGAGUCCCAUUGUAGAAUUUUCACCCGAGGACUGGUGGGCCCCUGAAGAUCUUGGGCACGAUGAUGAGUGCCAGUGCAAGAGCUAUGUUGCAGGACAGCAACAGUGAUACCCGAUCUGGGAUUCUUUUUCAUUCUUUGUUAUGUUACCUUUUUGGUGCUUUGGAUAUUUAAAUUGUAUUUUAUAUAUAUAUAUAUAUAUAUAUCACUCCUACAGGCUCACAUGUAAACGUACUAUGUAACACAAUUUGGGUAUCAAGAGUAUUGGGGUAUUUACAAGUAUAUACAUACAAGACUUCUGUUAAA